UUGUUUGUGAUGAUUAUAAACAAUUCCUCGUUCUGAAUACGAUGGCAUGAUAGACUCUUUUACACCCAUAGAAUAUGAGCAAAC
rfam:Solanum lycopersicum cultivar Heinz 1706 chromosome 4, whole genome shotgun sequence.